AAUAUUGGACAAUGGGCGCAAGCCUGAUCCAGCGACGCCGCGUGAGUGAUGAAGGCCUUCGGGUUGUAAAGCUCUGUUGAGGGAGAAGAAAACGGGUGGCGCGGAUAGCUCCAUCCCUUGACGGUAUCCCUUUAGAAAGCACCGGCCAACUUCGUGCCAGCAGCCGCGGUAAUACGAAGGGGGCUAGCGUUGUUCGGAAUUACUGGGCGUAAAGCGCGCGUAGGCGGUUUUGCAAGCCAGAGGUGAAAUGCCUGAGCUCAACUUAGGAAUUGCCUUUGGGACUGCGAGGCUUUGAGGACUGGAGAGGUGAGUGGAAUUCCCAGUGUAGAGGUGAAAUUCGUAGAUAUUGGGAAGAACACCGGUGGCGAAGGCGGCUCACUGGCCAGUUUCUGACGCUGUAGCGCGAAAGCGUGGGGAUCAAAC
rnacentral:rRNA from 1 species